rfam:Rattus norvegicus chromosome 16, whole genome shotgun sequence.
GGAGAGAUGGCUCAGCGGUUAAGAGCACUGGCUGCUCUUCCAGAGGUCCUGAGUUCAAUUCCCAGCAACCCCA